rnacentral:rRNA from 1 species
AGUGAACGCUGGCGGUAGGCCUUACACAUGCAAGUCGAACGCGUGCCGGACGGGUGAGGAAUACAUCGGAAUCUACUCUGUCGUGGGGGAUAACGUCCGGAAACUUACGCUAAUACCGCAUACGAUUGAAUGAGCCGAUGUCGGAUUAGCUAGUUGGCGGGGUAAAGGCCCACCAAGGCGACGAUCCGUAGCUGGUCUGAGAGGAUGAGCAGCCACACUGGAACUGAGACACGGUCCAGACGCCUACGGGAGGCAGCAGUGGGUAAUAUUGGACAAUGGGGGCAAGCCUGAUCCAGCCAUACCGCGUGGGUGAAGAAGGCCGGCGGGUUGUAAAGUCCUUUUGUCAGGAAAGCGGUACCCAAAGAAUAAGCACCGGCUAACGUAGUGCCAGCAGCCGCGGUAAUUC